AUUUUCCGCAAUGGGCGCAAGCCUGACGGAGCAACGCCGCGUGCGGGAUGACGCGUUUCGGCGUGUAAACCGCUGUUCGGGGGGACGAAGCACUGACGGUACCCCCGGAGGAAGGCCCGGCUAACUACGUGCCAGCAGCCGCGGUAAUACGUAGGGGUCGAGCGUUGUCCGGAGUUACUGGGCGUAAAGCGUGCGCAGGCGGCGGUCUGCGCCCGGCGUGAAAGCCCCCGGCUCAACCGGGGAGGGUCGUCGGGGACGGGACCGCUUGAGGGUAUCAGGGGCUGGUGGAAUUCCCGGUGUAGUGGUGAAAUGCGUAGAGAUCGGGAGGAACACCCGUGGCGGAGGCGGCCAGCUGGGAUACACCUGACGCUGAGGCACGAAGGCGUGGGGAGCGAAC
rnacentral:rRNA from 1 species